ensembl:lncRNA
AAAAGUAGUGCACUUUAUAGGGAACAGGGUGUCAUUUGGGCCAAAUAUAGGAUAAUUUGACUGUAGCCUUCUGCGUUCAGCAGAGACCACUUUUUCCUUGUUGGCACUUUAUCUGUUGGUUAGUAGGUGUUAUUAUAUUAUUGAACCUCUUGAGCCAUACGCUAUUGGGUUAGUCAGACUGAUCAGCAAGUCUCAAUAAGGUGUUGGGAUCAACAAGUCUCAAAAAGGUGUUGGGUUAGUCAGGCUGAUCAACAAGUCUCAAUAAGGUGUUGGGUUAGUCAGGCUGAUCAACAAGUCUCAAUAAGGUGUUGGGAUCAACAAGUCUCAAUAAGGUGUUGGGUUAGUCAGGCUGAUCAGCAGGUCUCAAUAAGGUGUUGGGUUAGUCAGGCUGAUCAACAAGUCUCAAUAAGGUGUUGGCAUCAACAAGUCUCAAUAAGGUGUUGGGUUAGUCAGGCUGAUCAACAAGUCUCAAUAAGGUGUUGGGUUAGUCAGGCUGAUCAGCAAGUCUCAAGUCUCAAACACCUUAGUAAUAUAUUCUGUCCAUGGACUCAUGCUACUCAUAUUCACUGGGGUUGUGUGUCCCAAAUGGCAACUCAUUCUACAUUUGACCAGGGCCCAUAUGGGGGAUAGGAGGUCAUUAAUGACCGGGGCCCAUAUGGGGGGGGAUAGGAAGUCAUUAAUGACCAGGGCCCAUAUGGGGGAUAGGAAGUCAUUAAUGACCAGGGCCCAUAUGGGGGAUAGGAGGAAGUCAUUAAUGACCAGGGCCCAUAUGGGGGGAUAGGAAGUCAUUAAUGACCAGGGCCCAUAUGGGGGAUAGGAAGUCAUUAAUGACCAGGGCCCAUAUGGGGGGAUAGGAAGUCAUUAAUGACCAGGGCCCAUAUGGGGGAUAGGAAGUCAUUAAUGACCAGGGCCCAUAUGGGGGAUAGGAAGUCAUUAAUGACCAGGGCCCAUAUGGGGGAUAGGAAGUCAUUAAUGACCAGGGCCCAUAUGGGGGGGAUAGGAAGUCAUUAAUGACCAGGGCCCAUAUGGGGGAAUAGGAA